UCCCUGGUGGUCCAGUGGUUAGGACUCUGCACUCCCACUACAGAAGGCACAGGUUCAAUCCCUGCUCAGGGAA